rnacentral:rRNA from 1 species
AGUGAACGCUGGCGGUAGGCCUAACACAUGCAAGUCGAACGGCAGCACAGGAGAGCUUGCUCUCUGGGUGGCGAGUGGCGGACGGGUGAGGAAUACAUCGGAAUCUACUUUUUCGUGGGGGAUAACGUAGGGAAACUUACGCUAAUACCGCAUACGACCUACGGGUGAAAGCAGGGGAUCUUCGGACCUUGCGCGAUUGAAUGAGCCGAUGCCGGAUUAGCUGGUUGGCGGGGCAAGGGCCCACCAAGGCGACGAUCCGUAGCUGGUCUGAGAGGAUGAUCAGCCACACUGGAACUGAGACACGGUCCAGACUCCUACGGGAGGCAGCAGUGGGGAAUAUUGGACAAUGGGCGCAAGCCUGAUCCAGCCAUACCGCGUGGGUGAAGAAGGCCUUCGGGUUGUAAAGCCCUUUUGUUGGGAAAGAAAUCCAGCUGGUUAAUACCCGGUUGGGAUGACGGUACCCAAAGAAUAAGCACCGGCUAACUUCGUGCCAGCAGCCGCCGCAU